AGAGUUUGAUCCUGGCUCAGGAUGAACGCUGGCGGCGUGCUUAACACAUGCAAGUCGAGCGAUGAAGUUUCCUUCGGGAAACGGAUUAGCGGCGGACGGGUGAGUAACACGUGGGUAACCUGCCUCAUAGAGUGGAAUAGCCUUCCGAAAGGAAGAUUAAUACCGCAUAACGUUGAAAGAUGGCAUCAUCAUUCAACCAAAGGAGCAAUCCGCUAUGAGAUGGACCCGCGGCGCAUUAGCUAGUUGGUGGGGUAACGGCCUACCAAGGCGACGAUGCGUAGCCGACCUGAGAGGGUGAUCGGCCACAUUGGGACUGAGACACGGCCCAGACUCCUACGGGAGGCAGCAGUGGGGAAUAUUGCACAAUGGGGGAAACCCUGAUGCAGCAACGCCGCGUGAGUGAUGAAGGUUUUCGGAUCGUAAAGCUCUGUCUUUGGGGAAGAUAAUGACGGUACCCAAGGAGGAAGCCACGGCUAACUACGUGCCAGCAGCCGCGGUAAUACGUAGGUGGCGAGCGUUAUCCGGAUUUACUGGGCGUAAAGGGAGCGUAGGCGGAUGAUUAAGUGGGAUGUGAAAUACCCGGGCUCAACUUGGGUGCUGCAUUCCAAACUGGUUAUCUAGAGUGCAGGAGAGGAGAGUGGAAUUCCUAGUGUAGCGGUGAAAUGCGUAGAGAUUAGGAAGAACACCAGUGGCGAAGGCGACUCUCUGGACUGUAACUGACGCUGAGGCUCGAAAGCGUGGGGAGCAAACAGGAUUAGAUACCCUGGUAGUCCACGCCGUAAACGAUGAGUGCUAAGUGUUGGAGGGUUUCCGCCCUUCAGUGCUGCAGCAAACGCAUUAAGCACUCCGCCUGGGGAGUACGACCGCAAGGUUGAAACUCAAAGGAAUUGACGGGGGCCCGCACAAGCGGUGGAGCAUGUGGUUUAAUUCGAAGCAACGCGAAGAACCUUACCAGGUCUUGACAUCCUUUGACCACUCUAGAGAUAGAGCUUUCCCUUCGGGGACAAAGUGACAGGUGGUGCAUGGUUGUCGUCAGCUCGUGUCGUGAGAUGUUGGGUUAAGUCCCGCAACGAGCGCAACCCUUGUCGUUAGUUACUACCAUUAAGUUGAGGACUCUAGCGAGACUGCCUGGGUUAACCAGGAGGAAGGUGGGGAUGACGUCAAAUCAUCAUGCCCCUUAUGUGUAGGGCUACACACGUGCUACAAUGGCUGGUACAGAGAGAUGCAAUACCGCGAGGUGGAGCCAAACUUAAAAACCAGUCUCAGUUCGGAUUGUAGGCUGAAACUCGCCUACAUGAAGCUGGAGUUACUAGUAAUCGCGAAUCAGAAUGUCGCGGUGAAUACGUUCCCGGGUCUUGUACACACCGCCCGUCACACCAUGAGAGUUGGCAAUACCCGAAGUCCGUGAGCUAACCGCAAGGAGGCAGCGGCCGAAGGUAGGGUCAGCGAUUGGGGUGAAGUCGUAACAAGGUAGCCGUAGGAGAACCUGCGGCUG
rnacentral:rRNA from 1 species